rnacentral:rRNA from 1 species
UCUUGAGUGCAGAAGAGGAGAGUGGAACUCCAUGUGUAGCGGUGGAAUGCGUAGAUAUAUGGAAGAACACCAGUGGCGAAGGCGGCUCUCUGGUCUGCAACUGACGCUGAGGCUCGAAAGCAUGGGUAGCGAACAGGAUUAGAUACCCUGGUAGUCCAUGCCGUAAACGAUGAGUGCUAAGUGUUGGGAGGUUUCCGCCUCUCAGUGCUGCAGCUAACGCAUUAAGCACUCCGCCUGGGGAGUACGACCGCAAGGUUGAAACUCAAAGGAAUUGACGGGGGCCCGCACAAGCGGUGGAGCAUGUGGUUUAAUUCGAAGCAACGCGAAGAACCUUACCAGGUCUUGACAUCCAGUGCCANCCUAAGAGAUUAGGUGUUCCCUUCGGGGACGCUAAGACAGGUGGUGCAUGGCUGUCGUCAGCUCGUGUCGUG